GGGAUGCCUAGUAACGGCGAGUGAACAGGCAAGAGCUCAGAUUUGAAAGCCUUUCGGGGCAUUGUAUUCUGAAGCCUUGGUCCUGGGAACCGGUGCUUAAGUCUCCUGGAAAGGAGCGCCAUGGAGGGUGAUAGCCCCGUGUAGCACUGACCCCAUUGUAGGACUUUGGCGUGGAGUCGAGUUGUUUGGGAAUGCAGCUCAAAUGGGUGGUAUGCUCCAUCUAAAGCUAAAUAUCUGCGAGAGACCGAUAGCGAACAAGUACUGUGAAGGAAAGAUGAAAAGAACUUUGAAAAGAGAGUGAAAUAGUACGUGAAAUUGUUGAAAUGGAAGGGUAGGCCGCUAACCACGUAGAGCCGUGUCUGGGGGGAGGAUAAAAGCUGUAGAAUGUAGCUCUUCGGAGUGUUAUAGCUGCAGUGCAUACUCCCAUCCGGGCGCGAGGACCUAAGGCUCUGCUAAAUGGUGGUCUACCACCCGUCUUGAAACACGGACCAAGGAGUCUAUUGCCUGCGCGAGUAUUUGGGUGGCAAACCCAUAUGCGAAGUGAAAGCGAGUGGUUCCA
rnacentral:rRNA from 1 species